rnacentral:rRNA from 1 species
AGGCGAACGGGUGCGUAACACGUAUGCAACCUACCUCUAACUGGGGAAUAGCCCGGAGAAAUUCGGAUUAAUACCCCAUAACAUAACGGAAUGGCAUCAUUUUGUUAUCAAAGCCCAGACGGUUAGAGAUGGGCAUGCGCUCCAUUAGUUAGUUGGUGAGGUAACGGCUCACCAAGACCACGAUGGAUAGGGGGUCUGAGAGGAUGAUCCCCCACACUGGUACUGAGACACGGACCAG